rnacentral:tRNA from 1 species
GUAGUCGUGGCCGAGUGAUUAAGGCGACAGACUAGAAAUCUGUUGGGAAAUUCCCGCGCAGGUUCAAAUCCUGCCGACUACG